rnacentral:rRNA from 1 species
AGAGUUUGAUCCUGGCUCAGGACGAACGCUGGCGGCACGCUUAACACAUGCAAGUCGAACGAGAGAAGAGGAGCUUGCUUUUCUGAUCUAGUGGCGGACGGGUGAGUAACACGUGAGCAAUCUGCCUUUCAGAGGGGGAUACCGAUUGGAAACGAUCGUUAAUACCGCAUAACAUAAUUGAACCGCAUGAUUUGAUUAUCAAAGAUUUAUCGCUGAAAGAUGAGCUCGCGUCUGAUUAGCUAGUUGGUAAGGUAACGGCUUACCAAGGCGACGAUCAGUAGCCGGACUGAGAGGUUGAUCGGCCACAUUGGGACUGAGACACGGCCCAGACUCCUACGGGAGGCAGCAGUGGGGAAUAUUGCACAAUGGAGGAAACUCUGAUGCAGCGAUGCCGCGUGAGGGAAGAAGGUUUUAGGAUUGUAAACCUCUGUCUUCAGGGACGAAAAAAGACGGUACCUGAGGAGGAAGCUCCGGCUAACUACGUGCCAGCAGCCGCGGUAAUACGUAGGGAGCGAGCGUUGUCCGGAAUUACUGGGUGUAAAGGGAGCGUAGGCGGGAUCGCAAGUCAGAUGUGAAAACUAUGGGCUUAACCCAUAAACUGCAUUUGAAACUGUGGUUCUUGAGUGAAGUAGAGGUAAGCGGAAUUCCUAGUGUAGCGGUGAAAUGCGUAGAUAUUAGGAGGAACAUCAGUGGCGAAGGCGGCUUACUGGGCUUUAACUGACGCUGAGGCUCGAAAGCGUGGGGAGCAAACAGGAUUAGAUACCCUGGUAGUCCACGCCGUAAACGAUGAUUACUAGGUGUGGGGGGACUGACCCCUUCCGUGCCGCAGCAAACGCAAUAAGUAAUCCACCUGGGGAGUACGACCGCAAGGUUGAAACUCAAAGGAAUUGACGGGGGCCCGCACAAGCAGUGGAGUAUGUGGAUUAAUUCGAAGCAACGCGAAGAACCUUACCAGGUCUUGACAUCGUAUGCAUAGCUCAGAGAUGAGUGAAAUCUCUUCGGAGACAUAUAGACAGGUGGUGCAUGGUUGUCGUCAGCUCGUGUCGUGAGAUGUUGGGUUAAGUCCCGCAACGAGCGCAACCCUUACUGUUAGUUGCUACGCAAGGGCACUCUAGCAGGACUGCCGUUGACAAAACGGAGGAAGGCGGGGAUGACGUCAAAUCAUCAUGCCCCUUAUGACCUGGGCCUCACACGUACUACAAUGGCUGUCAACAGAGGGAAGCAAAGCCGCGAGGUGGAGCGAACCCCUAAAAGCAGUCUUAGUUCGGAUUGUGGGCUGCAACCCGCCUACAUGAAGUCGGAAUUGCUAGUAAUCGCAGAUCAGCAUGCUGCGGUGAAUACGUUCCCGGGCCUUGUACACACCGCCCGUCACGCCAUGGGAGUCGGUAACACCCGAAGCCUGUAGUCUAACCGCAAGGAGGACGCAGUCGAAGGUGGGAUUGAUGACUGGGGUGAAGUCGAAACAAGGUA